UUACCAUGCAGUCGACGAUGAAGCCCAGCUUGCUGGGUGGAUUAGUGGCGAACGGGUGAGUAACACGUGAGUAACCUGCCCUUGACUCUGGGAUAAGCCUGGGAAACUGGGUCUAAUACCGGAUAUGACCUUCCAUCGCAUGGUGGUUGGUGGAAAGCUUUUGUGGUUUUGGAUGGACUCGCGGCCUAUCAGCUUGUUGGUGGGGUAAUGGCCUACCAAGGCGAUGACGGGUAGCCGGCCUGAGAGGGUGACCGGCCACACUGGGACUGAGACACGGCCCAGACUCCUACGGGAGGCAGCAGUGGGGAAUAUUGCACAAUGGGCGCAAGCCUGAUGCAGCGACGCCGCGUGAGGGAUGACGGCCUUCGGGUUGUAAACCUCUUUCAGUAGGGAAGAAGCGAAAGUGACGGUACCUGCAGAAGAAGCGCCGGCUAACUACGUGCCAGCAGCCGCGGUAAUACGUAGGGCGCAAGCGUUAUCCGGAAUUAUUGGGCGUAAAGAGCUCGUAGGCGGUUUGUCGCGUCUGCUGUGAAAGACCGGGGCUCAACUCCGGUUCUGCAGUGGGUACGGGCAGACUAGAGUGAUGUAGGGGAGACUGGAAUUCCUGGUGUAGCGGUGAAAUGCGCAGAUAUCAGGAGGAACACCGAUGGCGAAGGCAGGUCUCUGGGCAUUAACUGACGCUGAGGAGCGAAAGCAUGGGG
rnacentral:rRNA from 1 species